rnacentral:tRNA from 1 species
GCUCCCGUAGCUCAGCAGGAUAGAGCACAGGAUUCCUAAUCCUGGUGCCGGCAGUUCGAAUCUGCCCGGGAGCACCA